GAAUUAUAAUGCCCUUCUCUCACUUGCCCUUGCUCUGUGUAGCUGCUUCCGGAAAGGAAUGUCUUGUGGCAAGUCAUAGGAGGGUACUGUGAUGAGAAGCCAAUGGGGUGGCUAUUCCAGAGGUUACUACCUGACUGCAGCCAUGUCCCCUAGGGCUUUGGUCUUGACACAUCUUUAAAAAUAAACAGGACAAAGGAUGUAGACAAACAAAUCAGUUUCACAGAACCAAAUAAAGUUUCAGAAGCACCACCACCAUCCCAUGGAUCUUCUUACAUCUCAGAAUCUUGCUUUUACCAUGUACCAGGGAAUAAGGAAACGGAAGCAUCCAUGAUGCUUCAUAAUCUUCAGCAAGUAAGGACAAGGCUCAGACAU